rnacentral:rRNA from 1 species
CCUACGGGAGGCAGCAGUGAGGAAUAUUGGUCAAUGGGCGGAAGCCUGAACCAGCCAAGUAGCGUGCAGGAUGACGGCCCUACGGGUUGUAAACUGCUUUUAUACGGGAAUAACGCGCCUUACGUGUAGGGCUUUGCAUGUACCGUAUGAAUAAGGACCGGCUAAUUCCGUGCCAGCAGCCGCGGUAAUACGGAAGGUCCGGGCGUUAUCCGGAUUUAUUGGGUUUAAGGGGAGCGUAGGCCGCAUGUCAAGCGUGCUGUGAAAUGUCCGGGCGCAACCCGGGCCUUGCAGCGCGAACUGGCGGGCUUGAGUCCGCGGAAAGCAGGCGGAAUUCGUCGUGUAGCGGUGAAAUGCUUAGAUAUGACGAAGAACCCCGAUUGCGAAGGCGGCUAACUGGACUGCAACUGACGCUGAGGCACGAAAGUGUGGGGAGCAAACAGGAUUAGAUACCCCUGUAGUC